AUACCCAAGACUUUUCUCUUUCCCCUGGAUACAAAUUACCAUGAACCAUCAAUUUCCAUAAGCAAAAACCAAUUCAUGAAUAACUAAUGGUUCAUGCAUUAAGAGUAGUGACUUACUGGAGUGGGAUAGAGAACCACUGGCCGAGGCAGGAAUGGGGGAGGAAGCUCCAUUCCUCUUUUGGAUAUCCAGCUUGACUGAGCAGCUUGCUUCCCCACAUCCCCCCCCCAAAAGACUCCUCAAGAACAACAACAUGGAGUUAAGGUCCCCCUGGGCAAUAUUGUGAAGGGGGUGACAUUUGUCACUGAUGUUUCCUCCCUUCCCAUCAUUGCCCUUUAACACUCAUCCCUUCCAGAAAGCUCUCUUCACAGAGUCCCCCCAGGCACCAAGUAACCUUGUGCCAUAUCCCCUCUUGUCAUAUCCAUUUUAGAUGACUUCAACUAUCAUUCUCUUUGACCUCCCUGCAGCUUUUGCUAGUAUUCACUGUUCCCCUUUUCCUGAAUUCUUUGUCUUCCCUUGAUUUCUGAAAGAUCACCUCUCUGAGCAUCCAUCUUUGUUUCUUUUACUAUUCAUCUUCUUGAUAUCUCAGAGUACUUCAAGGGUUUGGCCCCGGACCACCCCUCACCCCACCCCACCCCACCUCUCUCUGUCUCUCUCUCCAUUUUCUCCCUUGGUAACCUCAUCCACUUUUAUUAUUUCAGUCCUAUGUAGAUGACUUGCACAUUUAUUUCUCCAGUCAUGAACUUUGUAAGUUCCAAAACCAAUGCAGCUGACCACAGGAAAUAUUUCUAUGAAACUGUCUCACAGAAACCCCUAUGGGGCUUUGUCCAGAGGAAACAGACUAUAGGGAAAGUAAUCAAGAUGAAUCUAGGACACCUACAAGGACUGAAGAAGGUCCAGGUGUGAACAAAGCCAGACAGCCUCCUGGGAUGAAUCAAAGACAUUCCAAUUAGGUGUCCUCAGUGAAUUUGUUCACCUUGGUUGAGCAAUUUGCUUAUGAUCUAAGGAACUCACCAGAUAUAAAAGGAGAAGAGAGUUCAGAGCAGAGGGAGAUUUGGGGAAGGACUGGGAAUACCAAGGCCAAGCUAGAAAGACUCAAAUACAGAAAGAGAAAAAAGAAUUGAGCAAUAUCAGAGAAGGGAGGGAUCAAGGAAGACCACUGACCCUUCAGACAUCUCACAGCAGAAGACAUAAUCAGUUGUACCCACCUCUUCAAGGAUUGGGAGAAGUUCAAACAAAAGUCAUCUUUUCCCUGGACUAAUUCACCUUGUGCUAGUCUAUUAAUAGGCAAAUAACCUCUGCUGCUUCUUUAGCUAAAUAUUGCCAGUGACCUGAAUUUUGUUCAAUCACAAAGAGGAAGAGAGGGAAUAAGCAUUAAUAUAGCACCUACUUUAUGCCAGGUUUUAAUUCUUAUAAUAAUCCUAUUAGGGAGGAGCUGUUAUUACCAGUUUACAGUUGAGGAAACUGAGGUAAACAGGGAUUAAAUGACCUGCCCAAAGUCAUACAGAUAGUAAGUGUUUAAGGCUACAUUGGCACUCAGACUUCCUAAGUGGUCCCAGAAUCUAUCCAUUGUGUCACCCAAGAGUUAAGGGUUAGUUAGGGAUAAAUAUAAAUAUGAAUUAAGACAGAGAUCCAAACUCCUGCCUAAAUCAAAGGCAUUUUCUUAACUAGAGUGAUUGUAAUGAUAUUUUCAAAUUUUCAUUUAAUAUAACAUCCUUUAAAAAAGUAGAGGAGGGCACCAUAUAAACCCUGAGUGGCCUUUAUACAAGUUAAUUACCAUAAUAGUAUUGCAAUAACAAUAAUAGUCCUCUUGAAUCCUGGAGUCACUUGGAUCCAAUUUGGAGAUCUGAACAAGGCUGGUUUCCUAUAUAUACCAUGCCAUGGGCUCUCAUAUACUUGUAUAAGUUGAGAUUUGGGGUGCUUCUCAAAACUAUUGAUUUGCAUACACAAAUAAAACAUUUAAUUCAGAAAUUCUUACCCUUUGG
rnacentral:lncRNA from 1 species